rnacentral:lncRNA from 1 species
AUGCCAGAUCAAGUGAUGUUAAUUAAUCCUUCACUUUCCUUCUUACUGAGGCUUCUCUUUAAGGCUAUGAAGGGGGCAGAGACAGCAGGCAGGCUCCAGCUCUUGGCAUCUAAUUUGAGCUUGAAUGAAACUGAGAAAGACUUUUACUCUCCUCAAUCCCAUCUGGUGUUAUUACUGUGGGAAACUGCCAGUCUUUGUUACAAAAAUUGGACCUGCAAAGACUGUGUCCUCUCGUGCAUGGUCUCACUGAAAUCAAAGGAGAGUAAAGAGUACAGGACUUACAGUAGGGCGAGUUUCUGUUCCUGGAAAUAUGCAUCCAACUGCACUCAGCAAACAUCUGUAGCACAUGGAUUUAGCCCAUUCUUCAGUCUGCAAUGCAUGAAGAUUCCAACUCCUGGGGAUUUGUUUCAUCAGGUCUCCUGA